GUAUGGGUGGCGUAGUGGUUUGUGCAUUGUACUACAACUUUGGAGACCAGGGUUCAAUUCCCAGCCUGGCUA